rnacentral:lncRNA from 1 species
AUGAGGGAGAAAGGAGGCAGUCGGCCUUAUCAUUUCGCAGACCAGAAAAUAGAGACCGAGGGAGGCUACACCUGCAGAGGGAAAGAUGAAAUGAAGCCUCUCUCCGCUGGUGUUCCACAUGCUUUCCAUUUGACCGGGAUUCCCCAAACUUGGCUGAUCAUCAGCAUCACUGAGGAGCAAGGGUCUCCGCAGAUUUUGCAGAUCUUUCCAAGAUCCAGAUGGACAUACUGACAUGUUUGAUCAUCUGAGGAGCAGCCUGCAAAACCAGAAUUUCCAGAGCCUAGCAACAAGCUAUCAGCAAUGCUUCCUGAUGACAAGGAAGAGAAGUCAAGAGACAACCGGAGAAAGAUGCAGACACUUGAAGAAAUAUUAAUCAUGGAAAGAAUAAGUUGUCUUUUUUGUUGUUCUUGCUCAGUUCAUCUGUUUGCAUCAAGGAAAAAUAAUGUCAUGAUUAUGUCUCUUAAUUUUAAAAUACAAAUGAAAAGAGCUGCCCGGCAUUUAGUGUACAUUUGGGGUCACCUGUGAUACAUUCCCAGAUUUCCUUUAAGUACUUGGGAAACUGAUAUGCAUGUUUAAGUUAGGCAAAUCAUCUUUCUUAUGUCCAGCCAUAGAUUUAUCACCAGGUUUUGGAGAUUGAUGUCAGAUUUGAUUUUAGGUCUUUUAGGUUAGUUAUCCUGGAUUAAUUUAAUAUUCACUUUGAUAUCCCUCUCAUGUCCCCUGACGUGAAAAUUUAUGUCUGUGCUAGAGGCCUUCUUUUUUUUUUCCUUCCAAUAUAUUCUUUCCUUAUUCAUGUAAAGGACACAUUUUAGACCUUAUGUUCUUUCCUGGUCAUUUCCAGAAUGUACUCUGUCAGGCCUAAUAAAAAAGAGUCUCAGUUUUUUGUUUUUUUUUUU